rnacentral:rRNA from 1 species
GUGAGGAAUUUUCCGCAAUGGGCGAAAGCCUGACGGAGCAAUGCCGCGUGAAGGAUGAAGGCCUAUGGGUUGUAAACUUCUUUUCUCAGAAAAGAAUUAUGACGGUAUCUGAGGAAUAAGCAUCGGCUAACUCUGUGCCAGCAGCCGCGGUAAGACAGAGGAUGCAAGCGUUAUCCGGAAUGAUUGGGCGUAAAGCGUCUGUAGGUUGUUUAAAAAGUAUUCUGUCAAAGAUUAGGGCUUAACCCUAGAUAGGCAGAAUAAACUUUUAAGCUAGAGUGUGGUAGAGGCAGAGGGAAUUCCUGGUGGAGCGGUGAAAUGCGUAGAGAUCGGGAGGAACACCAAAGGCGAAGGCACUCUGCUGGGCCAAUACUAACACUGAGAGACGAAAGCGAGGGGAGCAAAUGGGAUUAGAUACCCGUGUAGUCC